GAUGAACGCUGGCGGCGUGCCUAAUACAUGCAAGUCGAGCGAACGGACGAGAAGCUUGCUUCUCCGAUGUUAGCGGCGGACGGGUGAGUAACACGUGGAUAACCUACCUAUAAGACUGGGAUAACUUCGGGAAACCGGAGCUAAUACCGGAUAAUAUUUUGAACCGCAUGGUUCAAAAGUAAAAGACGGUCUUGCUGUCACUUAUAGAUGGAUCCGCGCUGCAUUAGCUAGUUGGUAAGGUAACGGCUUACCAAGGCAACGAUGCAUAGCCGACCUGAGAGGGUGAUCGGCCACACUGGGACUGAGACACGGUCCAGACUCCUACGGGAGGCAGCAGUAGGGAAUCUUCCGCAAUGGGCGAAAGCCUGACGGAGCAACGCCGCGUGAGUGAUGAAGGUCUUCGGAUCGUAAAACUCUGUUAUUAGGGAAGAAUAUAUGUGUAAGUAACUGUGCACAUCUUGACGGUACCUAAUCAGAAAGCCACGGCUAACUACGUGCCAGCAGCCGCGGUAAUACGUAGGUGGCAAGCGUUAUCCGGAAUUAUUGGGCGUAAAGCGCGCGUAGGCGGUUUUUUAAGUCUGAUGUGAAAGCCCACGGCUCAACCGUGGAGGGUCAUUGGAAACUGGAAAACUUGAGUGCAGAAGAGGAAAGUGGAAUUCCAUGUGUAGCGGUGAAAUGCGCAGAGAUAUGGAGGAACACCAGUGGCGAAGGCGACUUUCUGGUCUGUAACUGACGCUGAUGUGCGAAAGCGUGGGGAUCAAACAGGAUUAGAUACCCUGGUAGUCCACGCCGUAAACGAUGAGUGCUAAGUGUUAGGGGGUUUCCGCCCCUUAGUGCUGCAGCUAACGCAUUAAGCACUCCGCCUGGGGAGUACGACCGCAAGGUUGAAACUCAAAGGAAUUGACGGGGACCCGCACAAGCGGUGGAGCAUGUGGUUUAAUUCGAAGCAACGCGAAGAACCUUACCAAAUCUUGACAUCCUUUGACAACUCUAGAGAUAGAGCCUUCCCCUUCGGGGGACAAAGUGACAGGUGGUGCAUGGUUGUCGUCAGCUCGUGUCGUGAGAUGUUGGGUUAAGUCCCGCAACGAGCGCAACCCUUAAGCUUAGUUGCCAUCAUUAAGUUGGGCACUCUAAGUUGACUGCCGGUGACAAACCGGAGGAAGGUGGGGAUGACGUCAAAUCAUCAUGCCCCUUAUGAUUUGGGCUACACACGUGCUACAAUGGACAAUACAAAGGGCAGCGAAACCGCGAGGUCAAGCAAAUCCCAUAAAGUUGUUCUCAGUUCGGAUUGUAGUCUGCAACUCGACUACAUGAAGCUGGAAUCGCUAGUAAUCGUAGAUCAGCAUGCUACGGUGAAUACGUUCCCGGGUCU
rnacentral:rRNA from 1 species